UUAUGGUGAAGGAAAAGAUCAAUGUAUCCAACGAUGAAAAAAAAGUCACCUGAAUAAGUCAUCCCACCGUUGAAAAUCACUUCUUCCCCAGUUAUGAUAUUAUAAAUUAAUCACCAAUUGCUUUCAAUUGAUAAUGUGCUCAAGAAUAAAUGUCUCUUAGAUUUGAUUAUAUAUCUAUUGUGAGGUUUUAUGUACUUAUCAAUGUUCAGAUGUGUUUUGAAUG
rnacentral:misc_RNA from 1 species